rnacentral:tRNA from 1 species
GCCUGGGUGGCGGAAUCGGUAGACGCAGCGGAUUCAAAAUCCGCCGGUGAAUAACCGUGAGAGUUCGAGUCUCUCUCCAGGCACCA